rnacentral:rRNA from 1 species
UACAGAGGUCUCAAGCGUUGUUCGGAUUCAUUGGGCGUAAAGGGUGCGUAGGUGGCGCUGUAAGUCGGGUGUGAAAUUUCGGAGCUUAACUCCGAAACUGCAUUCGAUACUGCGGUGCUUGAGGACUGGAGAGGAGACUGGAACUCAUGGUGUAGCAGUGAAAUGCGUAGAGAUCAUGAGGAAGACCAGUGGCGAAGGCGGGUCUCUGGACAGUUCCUGACACUGAGGCACGAAGGCCAGGGGAGCAAACGGGG